rnacentral:misc_RNA from 2 species
GCGCCGGAUGCCGGAAAGUUGGUCAAACUUGAUCAUUUAGAGGAAGUAAAAGUCGUAACAAGGUUUCCGUAGGUGAACCUGCGGAAGGAUCAUUACCGAUAGAAUAAUCCAAGACGAGUCCUUGAGACUUGUUUACUGUGUGAAUUGUACGCAAUCUUUUAGGGGUCGGUCUCUGUGCCGUUAAAUGGUCGUCCGCCGCUUGGCGUGCGUUCGGUCAGCCCCGACUUUAUGUUUUUUCAAACUUUGUUUAUUCAGUCUGAGAACCAAUAGUGUUGGAAAACGAAAAAGAGAAAGACAACUUUUAACGGUGGAUCUCUUGGCUCACGCAUCGAUGAAGAACGCAGCCAGCUGCGAUAAGUAGUGUGAAUUGCAGAAUUCAGUGAAUCAUCGAAUCUUUGAACGCAAAUGGCGCUCUUGGGUUCUCCCAGGAGCAUGUCUGCCUGAGUGUCGGAUAUCAUCCAACGCC